CAUGACCUGGACUUCAGCUGCACUAAAACACUGAUCUGUUUUAGGUCAUUAAAAAGUAAUCUUGUUUUAUUUUCUUGUAAUUCUAGCAUCCUAGGUAUACUUUUCUCCACUUUGCAUUCCCCUCUUAACAAUACAUCCUGGCUCCCAUUCCCUAACAGUUGAUAGAGACCUUCCUCAUGCCUUUUUCAGUAACCGACCACUCCAUUGUGUAGAUACAUGGUUAUUUAUGCUCCAGAACUGUUCUCAGGAGUCCUGUGGACUUCCAGUUCUGCUGUUUUCCAGGCACUGCAGUUUCUGAAUGUAUACGGAAAGAAGGCGGGAGGAGGUGGCAGUGCCCUGGCUGCUUCUAGAAGCAGCACCUGUUUGCGACCAUUCAUACCAGUUUUCUGCUUGGUUCUCCUCUUGGGUGGAGGGGAGAAGGUGUCUUUUAUAACCAGGGAAAAGGACUUGGAAGCCAAAUUCAUUAUUCAAAUGGAGAAAAGCAAAACAACAAUCACAAACUUAAAGAUACCAGAAGGAGGGACUGGGGACUCAGGAAGAGAACGGACGAAGACCUUCACCUAUGACUUCUCUUUUUAUUCUGCUGAUACGAAAAGUCCAGAUUAUGUCUCACAAGAGAUGGUUUUCAACACCCUCGGCACAGAUGUCGUGAAGUCUGCAUUUGAAGGUUAUAAUGCUUGUGUCUUUGCAUAUGGGCAAACUGGAUCGGGAAAGUCAUACACUAUGAUGGGAAAUUCUGGCGAUUCUGGCUUAAUACCUCGGAUUUGUGAAGGGCUCUUCAGUCAAAUAAAUGAAACCACCAGAUGGGAUGAAGCAUCUUUUCGAACUGAAGUCAGCUACUUAGAAAUUUAUAAUGAACGUGUGCGAGAUCUGCUUAGGCGGAAGUCAUCCAAAACCUUCAAUUUAAGAGUCCGAGAGCAUCCAAAAGAAGGACCUUAUGUGGAGGAUUUAUCCAAACAUUUAGUACAGAAUUACGGUGAUGUGGAAGAACUCAUGGAUGCAGGAAAUAUCAACCGAACCACAGCAGCGACUGGGAUGAACGACGUCAGUAGCAGGUCUCAUGCCAUCUUCACCAUCAAGUUCACUCAGGCAAAAUUUGAUUCUGAAAUGCCGUCUGAAACCGUGAGUAAGAUCCACUUAGUCGAUCUUGCUGGAAGUGAGCGAGCAGAUGCCACCGGUGCCACUGGGGUCAGACUGAAGGAAGGGGGGAAUAUUAACAAAUCCCUCGUGACUCUGGGAAAUGUCAUUUCUGCCUUAGCCGAUUUAUCUCAGGACGCGGCAAACCCUCUUGUGAAGAAGAAACAAGUUUUCGUGCCUUACAGAGAUUCUGUUUUGACUUGGCUGUUGAAAGAUAGCCUUGGCGGGAACUCUAAAACCAUCAUGAUCGCCACCAUUUCACCUGCUGAUGUCAAUUAUGGAGAAACCCUAAGUACUCUUCGCUAUGCAAAUAGAGCCAAAAACAUCAUCAACAAGCCUACUAUUAAUGAGGACGCCAACGUCAAACUCAUCCGUGAGCUGCGUGCUGAAAUAGCCAGACUGAAAACGCUGCUUGCUCAAGGGAAUCAGAUUGCCCUCUUAGACUCCCCCACAGCCUUAAGUAUGGAGGAAAAACUUCAGCAGAAUGAAGCAAGAGUUCAAGAAUUGACCAAGGAAUGGACAAAUAAGUGGAAUGAAACCCAAAAUAUUUUGAAAGAACAAACUCUAGCCCUUAGGAAAGAAGGGAUUGGAGUUGUUUUGGAUUCUGAACUGCCCCAUUUGAUUGGCAUUGAUGAUGACCUUCUGAGUACUGGAAUCAUCUUAUAUCACUUGAAGGAAGGUCAGACAUAUGUUGGUCGAGAAGAUGCUUCAACAGAACAGGAUAUUGUUCUUCAUGGCCUCGACCUGGAGAGUGAGCACUGCAUCUUUGAAAACGUCGGGGGGACAGUGACUCUGAUACCCCUGAGCGGGUCUCAGUGCUCCGUGAAUGGUGUUCAGAUCAUGGAGGCCACACACCUAAAUCAAGGUGCUGUGAUACUCUUGGGAAGAACCAAUAUGUUUCGCUUUAACCAUCCUAAGGAGGCUGCCAAGCUCAGGGAGAAGAGGAAGAGUGGCCUUCUGUCCUCCUUCAGCUUGUCCAUGACUGACCUCUCGAAGUCCUGUGAGAACCUGUCCACGGUCAUGUUGUAUAACCCAGGACUUGAAUUUGAGCGGCAACAGCGCGAAGAACUUGAAAAAUUAGAAAGUAAAAGGAAACUCAUAGAAGAAAUGGAAGAAAAGCAGAAGUCAGAUAAGGCAGAACUGGAGCGGAUGCAGCAGGAGGUGGAGACUCAGCGCAAGGAGACGGAGAUUGUCCAGCUGCAGAUCCGCAAGCAGGAGGAGAGCCUCAAACGCCGCAGCUUCCACAUCGAGAGCAGGCUGAAGGAUUUGCUUGCCGAGAAGGAAAAGUUCGAAGAGGAAAGGCUGCGGGAGCAGCAGGAAAUCGAGCUGCAGAAGAAGAAGCAGGAGGAGGAGAGCUUUCUCCGAGUCAAAGAAGAGCUCCAGCGGCUCCAGGAGCUCAACAACAACGAGAAGGCCGAGAAGAUCCAGAUAUUUCGAGAGCUGGACCGCCUCAAGAAGGAGAAGGACGAGCAGUACGCCAAGCUCGAGUCGGAGAAGAAGAGGCUGGAGGAGCAGGAGAAGGAGCAGGUCGUGCUCGUGGUGCACCUAGAGGAGCAGCUGCGCCAGAAGCGGGAGAUGAGCCGGCUCCUCCAGCGAGGGGAGGUGCAGCGGGUGGAGGAGGAGAGGAGGGACCUGGAGGGCAUCCGGGAGGCCCUCCUGCGGGUGAAGGAGGCCCGGGCCGAAGGGGAGGACGACGGCGAGGAGUCAGAACGGGCUCAGCUGCGUUUCCUGGAGUUCAAGAGAAGGCAGCUGGUCAAGCUGGCCAACUUGGAGAAGGACCUGGUUCAGCAGAAGGACCUCCUGAGAAAAGAAGUCGAAGAGGAACAAGAACUCCUGGAGCGUUUAAAGUCUGCAAACGAAGAUGACUUCAGAGUGUCGGAGAAAGAUGCCGAGGGUGUCACACACGUCACCCAGGCGGCUCAAAUCCUCGAGAAGAUCAAGCCCGCGGAAUACAGGCUGCAGUAUAAGGAACGCCAGCUCCAGUACCUCCUGCAGCAUCAUUUGCCAACCCUGUUGGAGGAAAAGCAGAGAGCGUUUGAAAUCCUUGACAGAGGUCCUCUCGGCUUAGACAACACUCUUUAUCAAGUGGAAAAAGAAAUGGAAGAAAAAGAGGAACAGCUCGCUCAGUACCAGGCCAACGCGAGCCAGCUGCAGAAGCUCCAAGCCACCUUUGAGUUCACUGCCAACAUCGCCCGUCAGGAAGAAAAAGUGAGGAAGAAGGAAAAGGAGAUCCUCGAGUCGCGGGAGAAGCAGCAGCGCGAGGCGCUGGAGCGGGCCGUGGCCAGGCUGGAGAGGAGGCACUGGGCCCUGCAGAGGCGCUCCACCCUGGGCCUGGAGAUCGAGGAGCAGAGGCAGAGACUGGCCACGCUGAACAGCAGCAGCAGCGAGCAGUCCGGCCUCCGGGCCAGCCUGGAAGCUGAGCAGGAAGCCCUGGAGAAGGACCGGGAGAGAUUAGAGCAUGAAAUCCAGCAGUUGAAGCAGAAGAUCUGUGAGGUUGAUGGUGUUCAAAAGGGGCAUCGUGGGACCAUGGAGGGGAAGGCUCCUUCUUCCAGCUUGCCAUCCAGUGCUGAAAAAUCUCACCUGGUCCCUCUGAUGGAUGCCAGGAUCAGUGCUUACAUUGAAGAAGAAGUCCAACGACGACUUCAGGAUUUGCAUCGCGCAAUUGGCGAGGAUAGCAGUGCAUCUGCAGAUGUGGCAAGGGAUAAUGAGAAACUCCACAAUGGCACCAUUCAACGUAAGCUAAAAUAUGAGAAAAGGUAUCUUGCCCCGCUGCUGCCCAGAGAUGUCACUGGCCCUUCCGGCAGAGAAGAGGGGAGGGAGGUGGAGCGGAACAACCAUCCGGGUCCUCCCACGACACAGAGCAUCUCGGCGUCUCCUGCUCCCUCCUCAGCAUCGUGCGAGAGAGCCCACCAGCGAAGACAUCGGUCCUCCGUACACAAGGUGUGGCAGAACAGUGAUCAUGGAUACGGUCAUCCUGAGUGUGCAGGCUGUUUCCAACCAAAACGUUUCAGUCUACCUGAAAUCACAUUUCUUAACGAAAGCAACACCAGUGACACAAAACAUCAGCAUCGGUUCAAACAUCUCAAUGAUGUGAUGGCUCAUAAAGAUAAACACAACUUGGGAAUCGAGUCCAGCUGGCCUUUGCUGCAAGAUUUGUCCCAAGAAGUGCCUCUACGUAAUGGAAGCAAGCAGACCAGGCAAAGCAAGUUACUCUGCUUGGCCCUCUCUGAAACGGUUUCUGGUGAGGAGGGUGCCUCCCACAGCGUUCCUCAGCAUGCACCCACCGGGAAGUUUUGUGGUGAGCAGCAAGUCGAGACAGAGUUAGAUGCUAAAAAAGCUAACUCUCCACAGUCCCUGAUAAAUAUCAGGACAGAAGGAAACAGCAGGUUGGGCUAUUUUUACCACAGGCUGGCAGACCUUUAUAAAGAUACCAGCAGUCACCUGCUACAGGCUGGCACAGAGGUGAUCCGCCAAGCCGGGCAUAUAGGGAACCUGUGUGACCCCAGGGGGCUCACCUCCCAUGUGACGACAUUUAUCAGAAGAUUACCAUUUCUGAAACACUUUCCCCUGGACACGCCCCUGAAGUCACAGCAGGCAUCAUCAGAGCCUUAUUCUUUCCCCAGAGAAGCUCAGGCUGGCAGCAGGGAUCCUGAAGAGGCAGGAGCCGCCAGGCCAGCAGAGGGCACUAUGCCUUUCAGAGCAUCAGGCCUCACUGCUGCCUCUGCUGCUGCAGGAUCCCCAGACUCCUCCGCAAGCUCAGUGCUGCACCUAGAAUCUGAAGAUUCUGGAAGGAGACCCGCAUUUAAGCAGACUCUUGUGCGAUUCCCAGCCCAGAUGCUGAAACUUCAGGAGCAGCCUCUAAAAGACUUUCUUGAGCAUGUGGCUUGUUCCGUACCAGAACUCUCAGGCGACAUAAAGGAAGUCAAAGGUGUUUACUGGCUUGCUGUUGCUAACUGCACAGAACCUGACCCUCAGCCAGCAUGUUUGCUUCUGCUUCAUUCCAUGCUAUAUGCUUUGGUUCUGUCAGAUAACCCUUCAGCCUCAAUGGGCAUUUUUCAUGCUCUGCCUCUCUCUGGACUAGAGGAAAUCCAAGUCGGCUUUGGUGGGCAGAGCAUCAGACUCUUGGGCUCUGCAGAGAGUCUCCUGCUCACCGUAUUUAGUUACAGCAAAACCCUCUGUCAGCAGAUUUGCGGUGACCUCCUGUGUGUCCUGAUGCCCGAGUCUGACGCUGCUGUCCGCACUAAUCACCCUUUGUUCCAACAAGAUCUGGUUCAGCUUUCUCUUGACUGGAAAGCAGAAAUCCCUGAUUUAGUUUUGGCAGACGGUGUUCGGUUGUCAUCCAGAUUCCAGGAUACCUUGGUUGACAUGAUUUACUUUCUUCAUGGAAAUAUGGAAGUCAACAUCCCCUCUCUGGCAGAGGUACAGUUACUGCUCUACACGACAGUCAGAGUCGAGGGUGACCCCGGCCAAGACAACCUCCAGUCGUUAGUCCUUCUGAACACCCACAUUGCCCUUUUGAGGGAAGAUCGAGUUUUCUAUCCCCACACUCAGUCUCUAAACACACCUUCUCCACGAGCACAGUUUGAUGUGACCAGAUGUCGUGCUUUAAGCGAAUUCAGAGGAUGGUUUCUCGCUCUUUGGGAGCAAAUCCAGACGACCUGAAGGACCCAAUUAAAAUUAGUAUUCCACGCUAUGUGCUCUGCGGGCAAGGGAAGGACGAGCACUUCGAGUUUGAGGUCAAGAUUACUGUCCUAGAUGAGACAUGGACCGUAUUCAGGCGCUACAGUCGCUUUCGAGAAAU